GACGAACGCUGGCGGCGUGCUUAACACAUGCAAGUCGAACGGUGACCUCGAGAGCUUGCUCUUGGGUGAUCAGUGGCGAACGGGUGAGUAACACGUGAGUAACCUGCCCCAGACUCUGGAAUAACCCCGGGAAACCGGAGCUAAUACCGGAUACGAGACGGAGCCGCAUGGCUACCGUUUGGAAAGUUUUUCGGUCUGGGAUGGACUCGCGGCCUAUCAGUUAGUUGGUGAGGUAACGGCUCACCAAGACGACGACGGGUAGCCGGCCUGAGAGGGCGACCGGCCACACUGGGACUGAGACACGGCCCAGACUCCUACGGGAGGCAGCAGUGGGGAAUAUUGCACAAUGGGCGAAAGCCUGAUGCAGCGACGCCGCGUGAGGGAUGAAGGCCUUCGGGUUGUAAACCUCUUUCAGCAGGGAAGAAGCGAAAGUGACGGUACCUGCAGAAGAAGCACCGGCUAACUACGUGC
rnacentral:rRNA from 1 species